rnacentral:rRNA from 1 species
AGAGUUUGAUCAUGGCUCAGAUUGAACGCUGGCGGCAGGCCUAACACAUGCAAGUCGAACGGUAACAGGAAGAAGCUUGCUUCUUUGCUGACGAGUGGCGGACGGGUGAGUAAUGUCUGGGAAACUGCCUGAUGGAGGGGGAUAACUACUGGAAACGGUAGCUAAUACCGCAUACGUCGCAAGACCAAAGAGGGGGACCUUCGGGCCUCUUGCCAUCGGAUGUGCCCAGAUGGGAUUAGCUAGUAGGUGGGGUAACGGCUCACCUAGGCGACGAUCCCUAGCUGGUCUGAGAGGAUGACCAGCCACACUGGAACUGAGACACGGUCCAGACUCCUACGGGAGGCAGCAGUGGGGAAUAUUGCACAAUGGGCGCAAGCCUGAUGCAGCCAUGCCGCGUGUAUGAAGAAGGCCUUCGGGUUGUAAAGUACUUUCAGCGGGGAGGAAGGGAGUAAAGUUAAUACCUUUGCUCAUUGACGUUACCCGCAGAAGAAGCACCGGCUAACUCCGUGCCAGCAGCCGCGGUAAUACGGAGGGUGCAAGCGUUAAUCGGAAUUACUGGGCGUAAAGCGCACGCAGGCGGUUUGUUAAGUCAGAUGUGAAAUCCCCGGGCUCAACCUGGGAACUGCAUCUGAUACUGGCAAGCUUGAGUCUCGUAGAGGGGGGUAGAAUUCCAGGUGUAGCGGUGAAAUGCGUAGAGAUCUGGAGGAAUACCGGUGGCGAAGGCGGCCCCCUGGACGAAGACUGACGCUCAGGUGCGAAAGCGUGGGGAGCAAACAGGAUUAGAUACCCUGGUAGUCCACGCCGUAAACGAUGUCGACUUGGAGGUUGUGCCCUUGAGGCGUGGCUUCCGGAGCUAACGCGUUAAGUCGACCGCCUGGGGAGCACGGCCGCAAGGUUAAAACUCAAAUGAAUUGACGGGGGCCCGCACAAGCGGUGGAGCAUGUGGUUUAAUUCGAUGCAACGCGAAGAACCUUACCUGGUCUUGACAUCCACAGAACUUUCCAGAGAUGGAUUGGUGCCUUCGGGAACUGUGAGACAGGUGCUGCAUGGCUGUCGUCAGCUCGUGUUGUGAAAUGUUGGGUUAAGUCCCGCAACGAGCGCAACCCUUAUCUUUUGUUGCCAGCGGUCCGGCCGGGAACUCAAAGGAGACUGCCAGUGAUAAACUGGAGGAAGGUGGGGAUGACGUCAAGUCAUCAUGGCCCCUUACGACCAGGGCUACACACGUGCUACAAUGGCGCAUACAAAGAGAAGCGACCUCGCGAGAGCAAGCGGACCUCAUAAAGUGCGUCGUAGUCCGGAUUGGAGUCUGCAACUCGACUCCAUGAAGUCGGAAUCGCUAGUAAUCGUGGAUCAGAAUGCCACGGUGAAUACGUUCCCGGGCCUUGUACACACCGCCCGUCACACCAUGGGAGUGGGUUGCAAAAGAAGUAGGUAGCUUAACCUUCGGGAGGGCGCUUACCACUUUGUGAUUCAUGACUGGGGUGAAGUCGUAACAAGGUAACCGUAGGGGAACCUGCGGUUG